CUACGGGCGGCUCCAGUGAGGAAUAUUGCACAAUGGGGGGAACCCUGAUGCAGCAACGCCGCGUGGAGGAUGACGCAUUUCGGUGUGUAAACUCCUUUUAUAUGUCAAGAAAAUGACGGUGGCAUAUGAAUAAGCACCGGCUAACUCCGUGCCAGCAGCCGCGGUAAUACGGAGGGUGCAAGCGUUACUCGGAAUCACUGGGCGUAAAGGACGCGUAGGCGGGUUGGAAAGUCAGGUGUGAAAUCCUACAGCUUAACUGUAGAACUGCACUUGAAACUUCUAAUCUAGAGUAUGGGAGGGGGGGAUGGAAUGAGAGGUGUAGGGGUAAAAUCCGUAGAUAUCACUAGGAAUACCUAAAGCGAAGGCGAUCUCCUGGAACAUUACUGACGCUAAGGCGUGAAAGCGUGGGGAGCAAACAGGAUUAGAUACCCGCGUAGUC
rnacentral:rRNA from 1 species